rnacentral:rRNA from 1 species
CGGAGGGUGCAAGCGUUGUCCGGAUUUAUUGGGUUUAAAGGGUGCGUAGGCGGCCCGUUAAGUCAGUGGUGAAAGCCUCCAGCUCAACUGGAGAACUGCCAUUGAUACUGACGGGCUUGAGUACAGACGAGGUUGGCGGAAUUGAUUGUGUAGCGGUGAAAUGCAUAGAUACAAUCAAGAACUCCGAUUGCGUAGGCAGCUAACUAGGCUGUAACUGACGCUGAGGCACGAAAGCGUGGGGAGCGAACAGGAUUAGAUACCCUGGUAGUCCACGCUGUAAACGAUGAUUACUCGAUGUUGGCGAUAAACUGUCAGCGUCUUAGCGAAAGCGUUAAGUAAUCCACCUGGGGAGUACGCCCGCAAGGGUG